rnacentral:lncRNA from 1 species
GUGGAUAAGCAUCAUCGAUGUUAGGGUGCGAUCGAGCCGACAUGCAGGUCAUCCAAAUCAAAUUAUAAUUAAAUCAUGAUUGAGCUAUUUUUAUCUCUAUUGAACUUAAAAUGAGUUGAACCCAAAUCAUAAUUGGGCCAUUUUCAGCUUGAAAUUAAAUGGAAAAAAUUGGGCCGCCUAAGGUGGCCGCCACAAUUUUCAGCCCAUGCCUUUAUGAAGAUUUCAUGCAUGCCCUAACCC